UGGGGAAUCUUGCGCAAUGGGCGAAAGCCUGACGCAGCAACGCCGCGUGGGGGAAGAAGGCUUUCGGGUUGUAAACCUCUUUCAGGGGGGACGAAGCCACCGGGGUUAAUAGCCCACGGGGUGACGGUACCCCCAGAAGAAGCCCCGGCUAACUACGUGCCAGCAGCCGCGGUAAUACGUAGGGGGCAAGCGUUGUCCGGAAUCAUUGGGCGUAAAGCGCGUGUAGGUGGCUUGGUAAGUCCGGUGUGAAACCUUGGGGCUCAACCCCAAGCCUGCAUCGGAUACUGCCUCGCUCGAGUUCGGGAGGGAGAGCGGAAUUCCUAGUGUAGCGGUGAAAUGCGCAGAUAUUAGGAAGAACACCGGUGGCGAAGGCGGCUCUCUGGAACGAUACUGACACUGAGACGCGAAAGCGUGGGUAGCAAACAGGAUUAGAUACCCCGGUAGUCCCUGAGCGGGCUGGCAAGGCGCAU
rnacentral:rRNA from 1 species